CAGCGCCACGAGUGGGGAUCCUGUUUAUUUUGCCUAAAGCGUCCGUAGCUGGUUAAGUAAAUUUCUUGUGAAAUCGUUAAGCUUAACUUAACGGCGUGCAGAAGAUAUUGUCAAACUAGGGACCGGGAGGAGUUAGGGGUAUUUCUGAGGGAGCGGUAACAUGUUAUAAUCUCAGGAAGACCACCUGUGGCGAAGGCGCCUAACUAGAACGGAUCCGACGAUGAGGGACGAAGGCCAGGGGAGCGAACCGGAUUAGAGACCCGAGUAGUCC
rnacentral:rRNA from 1 species